rnacentral:lncRNA from 1 species
GUACGAAGCCAUUCCAACUUCUAUCUACUGAGGGCAAUAUGGAUUUUUGACUAACACUGUAGAAAUGACAAUUUCUUUUCACAUCAUUUUCAGCAUUGCAGCUUGCUAAACCACAACAUAUUUAUGACUUGCCAAACCAUGACACGUUCUAUGACAACGACCAUGCCAACCACAGUGGUCCUACAUGUAAACAAUGAUC